CCGGCGAUUUCCGAAUGGGGAAACCCAGUGUGAUUCGUCACACUAUCAUUAACUGAAUCCAUAGGUUAAUGAGGCGAACCGGGGGAACUGAAACAUCUAAGUACCCCGAGGAAAAGAAAUCAACCGAGAUUCCCCCAGUAGCGGCGAGCGAACGGGGAGGAGCCCAGAGCCUGAAUCAGCAUGUGUGUUAGUGGAAGCGUCUGGAAAGGCGCGCGAUACAGGGUGACAGCCCCGUACACAAAAGCGCAUGUGCUGUGAGCUCGAUGAGUAGGGCGGGACACGUGGUAUCCUGUCUGAAUAUGGGGGGACCAUCCUCCAAGGCUAAAUACUCCUGACUGACCGAUAGUGAACCAGUACCGUGAGGGAAAGGCGAAAAGAACCCCGGCGAGGGGAGUGAAAAAGAACCUGAAACCGUGUACGUACAAGCAGUGGGAGCACAGGUUUACCUGUGUGACUGCGUACCUUUUGUAUAAUGGGUCAGCGACUUAUAUUCUGUAGCAAGGUUAACCGAAUAGGGGAGCCGGAGGGAAACCGAGUCUUAAUUGGGCGUUAAGUUGCAGGGUAUAGACCCGAAACCCGGUGAUCUAGCCAUGGGCAGGUUGAAGGUUGGGUAACACUAACUGGAGGACCGAACCGACUAAUGUUGAAAAAUUAGCGGAUGACCUGUGGCUGGGGGUGAAAGGCCAAUCAAACCGGGAGAUAGCUGGUUCUCCCCGAAAGCUAUUUAGGUAGCGCCUCGUGAAUUCAUCUCCGGGGGUAGAGCACUGUUUCGGCUAGGGGGCCAUCCCGGCUUACCAACCCGAUGCAAACUGCGAAUACCGGAGAAUGUUAUCACGGGAGACACACGGCGGGUGCUAACGUCCGUCGUGAAGAGGGAAACAACCCAGACCGCCAGCUAAGGUCCCAAAGU
rnacentral:rRNA from 1 species